UGAAUAUAUAUGAAUAAUUGUGUGUUGGAUUUAUAAUUCGAUAGAUAUCUGAAUUUGGACUCUAGCCGAAACUAUUUGGUGUAUCACAUUAUUCACUGCGUAGCUUCAACCGAUCUCUUUACACCAUAUCGGCCAUAUUGGCAAGGUGCACAAAAUGGGAGCCCACAAGAGUUUCCGGAUUAAGAUGAAGCUGGCCAAGAAAAUGAAACAGAAUAGGCCAAUCCCCCCAGUGGGUCAGAAUGAAGACUGGCAACACAAUAAGGUACAACGCCAAGAGGCGUCAUUGGAGACGUACCAAGCUGAAGAUGUAAAUGCCUGUCACUUGUGACACAUUGACUCUGUUGUUGUCGUCAAGGGCUGGAAGUUGUUCACAUGUCCAGUUGUUUCCCUUUACUGGAUUCUUUUGGCAACAUCAUGGAUAUUCAUGUAUUAAGGGAUUCAGUUUUCAUCAACUUAGGAUUGUGUGAAUAAAAAUGCUUCCAGUCUA